AUUGAACGCUGGCGGCAGGCUUAACACAUGCAAGUCGAGCGGGGGAAGGUAGCUUGCUACCGGACCUAGCGGCGGACGGGUGAGUAAUGCUUAGGAAUCUGCCUAUUAGUGGGGGACAACAUCUCGAAAGGGAUGCUAAUACCGCAUACGUCCUACGGGAGAAAGCAGGGGAUCUUCGGACCUUGCGCUAAUAGAUGAGCCUAAGUCGGAUUAGCUAGUUGGUGGGGUAAAGGCCUACCAAGGCGACGAUCUGUAGCGGGUCUGAGAGGAUGAUCCGCCACACUGGGACUGAGACACGGCCCAGACUCCUACGGGAGGCAGCAGUGGGGAAUAUUGAACAAUAGGGGGAACCCUGAUCCAGCCAUGCCGCGUGUGUGAAGAAGGCCUUAUGGUUGUAAAGCACUUUAAGCGAGGAGGAGGCUACUCUAGUUAAUACCUAGGGAUAGUGGACGUUACUCGCAGAAUAAGCACCGGCUAACUCUGUGCCAGCCGCCGCCGUAA
rnacentral:rRNA from 1 species